rnacentral:lncRNA from 10 species
CUAAAGACAACGCACCUAUUGCGUCUAGCAAUUCUGUUCCCCGAGGAAACGUGCGUUUUAGAACAAAAGUACCAGCCCGCUCUCGCUAGGACUAAGUGAGCUUCUCCCUUCUUGUUUGUAGAGGAAAUCCGAAAAACUGCCUGGUUUGCCACCUCACCCUACCUCCCCCACGAGCGAAGGAGUGCGUGCGGCUUUACUCCCAGCCCGACUGGUCCACUCCCAGAAAAGCCUCGGUGGGACUCCGACGUCUAGGGAGUUGUAGCCGCUACCAGAAAUAUCGAUGAGCCUUUACCCUGAGGUUUAGAAAGGCAGCUCUUUCUGGGGCAAAUACAAAGAGCGUGUUUCUUCCUACAAAUUAGUGGCAUCCUCCCGCUGUAUGGAUUCAGCUGGCAAAGUAACUCAAGCCUUGUCCUGACUGCAAGGGUGGGCGGGGUGGACGGCUCGGUGUUCUGCCCGUUGUGUCUUACGCUCCAGGUGCUGGUCUACGCGGGCCUGGACAGUCAGGGGUAGGAGCGGGAGCCGAGAGGAGGCGGAGGAGAUGGCGUCCCAGCCGCCACCUCCCCCCAAACCCUGGGAGACCCGCCGAAUUCCGGGAGCCGGACCGGGACCAGGACCGGGCCCCACUUUCCACGUAGACUUUGGUCUGUAGCAGUUGAGAGCGGCAUUUGUCCAGCCACGGCAUCGACAGGGAGCAAAGUCUCUCCUUAAAGGUGUUAACCUCUCGAGAAGUUGCUGAAAGCCGGAAAGGUUUUACGCAACAGGAACUCAAGCCCCGUACACUUUGCAUUCUUUUCCAGCAUAACUCAGCCAGUGUUUCGGAUCGAGAUUGGAGAAGCAACUUUAAAGCAGGAGUUCUAGAUCUGAGGCCUAUGGAUGGACUUUGUGUGCAAAAUAGUGUAUUUUUCUGAGGCCUGUAUUUUUUUUUUGUUUGGUUUUUAAUCAGUAUCAGUUGGUUUCUAGGACUUUAAAAAGGCUAAAACAUGCAGAGUUGGGAGUGUUUCGUGGCCUCGUGUGGCUUUUGUUUGGUAGUGCUGGACAUCUUAAUUCAGAUAGGUGUGAUUCAAAUGUCAAAUCACCUACUAUUGUAGGUUUUCCUAAGCGUAAAAACCCCAACAUAUUGGAAUGUAUUUCUGCUGUAUUCUGAAAUCUUUUAUUUAAACACUAAAAUGCUUUAACACAGUAACGACUUAGUUUAAUAAGGAUAUAUACAUAACAAGUAAUAAGUUUGAUUAGGCUGGUAAGCCACGGUGACAUUAUCUGCUACCUUUUUUUUGAGUGGGUUCUUUUUUCCCCAUUUAGGCUGCUUGUCGAAUGAGAGAGGUUUUAUUUUUUGCAUCUGUUAAAGUUCUUUUUAUGUAAAAUUAACCAUUUUCCCACUUUAUCGUGAAAUAUUUUAAACACAGAGACCAGUAGAGAGUAAGAUAAUACCUAUAUAUUCACUACUCAACUUUAAACAGUGUUAACAUUUGCCAGACUUAUGUCGAAUUUUUCAAAAUAAAAGACGGCUAAACUCUCCCAUUCUUCUUUAUAGUGGUGACUAUUGUCCUUAUUUGGUGUUUCGCAUACCCAGUAAUGUUUUUAUAUUUUAGUACUUAGGUUUGUGCUAUUUAUAUGCAUUUUAUAUCUAAAACUUAACAAUGUAACAAUAAUAUAUAUUUUAUAUCUAAUUACAUGUUACUAUUUAUAUAUUAUUUUUUGUAUCUGUUUUUGUUUUUUCUGUUGCCCAAUUUUCUAUUGGCUUUAUCUUUGCUUACCAAUUUGUAAGAGUAUUGUUAAACUAAUCCUUUUUUGUUACUACAUUUUGCUAAUAUUUUUCACUGUGUGGCU